rnacentral:RNase_P_RNA from 1 species
UGCUCUGAGUAAUCGCGGUUAGCUAUAUGCUGGCUGAGGAAAGUCCACUCUCGCACAGGCUGUGAUGCCUGUAGUGUUCGUGCUCGGUGAAAAAAUAAGCCGAGGGAUUGUUUUUAACAAUUACGGCGAAGGAAAUAGCUAAGUACUUCGGUAUAUGUUACAGUACUUCCCAAGGUGCUAUAGAGACGAUUAAUUCAAGAAAUUGGAUUACUGGAACGCAGUAAACCCCGCGAGCGGGAAACCCAAACUUUGGUAGGGGAGCUUUACACACGGAAACAGAACCAAGUGUAGGGCAGAAAUCUUUUUUGAUUUCUGAGAUAGAUGAUUACUACUCAAUUGUUUUUCCUGAUAAUUCAAUUGAGCACAAAACAUGGCUUACAGGA